CACACCGCCCGUCACACCAUGAAAGCCGUUUGUACCCGAAGUCGCCGUGUCAACCGCAAGGAGACAGGUGCCGAAGGUAUGGAUGGUGAUUGGGAUG
rnacentral:rRNA from 1 species